GUGAACUAAGCGGACCCGGGAUGGCCGAGCCGGGGGCCGGCGUUCUGUGCUCCGUUUGCUCACCCUGACCGUGGCACCCGCAUAAGCCGUCUGUGUGUUCCAGAGAGGCCAGCCCUGCAUGUGCUGUCCGUGAGCGUGCUUGGACCUACGCAUAGGACCCAGCUGAGCGGGACAUUUACACGACUGCUGGGGUCGAGGGCAGAACAGGGGGAAACUGUGUUCUGGCGGAGGCACAGCACCCCGGGAGCACCCAGAGCCUGAAGAACACCGGGAUGCCGCAGACAAAGAAGAAGAUGAAGUAGGGGAUGAAGAAGGCUCCUGCAGAAGAGAGAGAGGCAGGGCUGAGCCACACCCGGGCUCUUCCUCAGCCUCCAUCCUUUCAGACCCUCCUCCCCCAACAAACCCGCCCUCCACCAUCCUGUUCUUAAUCUCCCUCCUGACACUUUCCAAGGGCCCACUCCUGCCUGCGUGCAGUCCUGAGUGUUAGGCAGGCACAGGUGGGAAUGUUCUGAUCUGAACCCUACACAGAAUGAGAAAGGCCUUGGAAGGGAAAUUAGUGAAAACUUAGGUGGAAAUUCUAAUAUAUGCACUAUUUAUUUUCUUAGUGUGCUUUACAAAUCUAGUCAAUAGAUUAUUUUUGGAAUAAACACAUGGCUUCUGUAUAACUUGAUAUGCUUAUUAAACUCUUGGUACAUUUUAGAGAAAAACAAACACAAACACCUCAGAAGCAUUAUUUUCCCACUAAUAAUUUUCAGGGUGUUUGUUGCCUCCACCCAGUUCUGAUCUGAACUGGGCUCCCAGCAGAGAAGGCCAUCACGUGAUUAGGUGCCAACCUGCAGGUGCCAGAGGGAGGCCAGGCCUAACAGACAUCCAGCAGGUUACACAGGAAUGGAAUCUGAAGACCACACCCAGGAGACCCACUUCAGUAGGAGUCACUAAGGCAUAAAGCUCGAGUGAGAAGUUCAUCUCAGGGUGAAUGGAUUAUUGCGUGUUACACCAUGAGAACGCUGAGUGCUUAUUUGGUGCCUACUUCAUGUCAGGCACUCUUGUACGUACUUCAUCAACAUCACAGUCCUUGCAAAACAACCUCCCAUGGGGCAGGCUCUACUGUUAUCCCCAUUUUGCAGAUAAUAAAACUGAGGUCGCUUUAAAGACGGAAAAACCGAAGCAUGAAUGAGGAAACUGAG
rnacentral:lncRNA from 10 species